rnacentral:rRNA from 1 species
AUUGAACGCUGGCGGCAGGCUUAACACAUGCAAGUCGAGCGGAGAUGAGGUGCUUGCACCUUAUCUUAGCGGCGGACGGGUGAGUAAUGCUUAGGAAUCUGCCUAAUAGUGGGGGACAACAUUCCGAAAGGAAUGCUAAUACCGCAUACGUCCUACGGGAGAAAGCAGGAGAUCAUCGGAACUUGCGCUAAUAGAUGAGCCUAAGUCGGAUUAGCUAGUUGGUGGGGUAAAGGCCUACCAAGGCGACGAUCUGUAGCGGGUCUGAGAGGAUGUUCCGCCACACUGGGACUGAGACACGGCCCAGACUCCUACGGGAGGCAGCAGUGGGGAAUAUUGGACAAUGGGGGGAACCCUGAUCCAGCCAUGCCGCGUGUGUGAAGAAGGCCUUGUGGUUGUAAAGCACUUUAAGCGAGGAGGAGGCUACUGAGACUAAUACUCUUGGAUAGUGGACGUUACUCGCAGAAUAAGCACCGGCUAACUCUGUGCCAGCCGCCGCCGUAAUAC